rnacentral:rRNA from 1 species
UCGCAAUGCCCGAAAGGGUGACGAAGCGACGCCGCGUGGGUGAGGAAGGCCUUCGGGUUGUAAAGCCCUGUCAGGAGUUAAGAAAUGUAGACUCGCUAAUAUCGGGUCUAUUUGACAAAGGCUCCAAAGGAAGCCACGGCUAACUCUGUGCCAGCAGCCGCGGUAAUACAGAGGUGGCAAGCGUUGUUCGGAAUUAUUGGGCGUAAAGAGCACGUAGGUGGAUUUGUAAGUCAGACGUGAAAGCCUUCUGUUCAACGGAAGAAUUGCAUCUGAAACUACAAACCUUGAGUGUAGGAGGGGAGAAUGGAACUUCUGGUGGAGCGGUGAAAUGCGUAGAUAUCAGAAGGAACGCCGGCGGCGAAAGCGAUUCUCUGGCCUAUUACUGACACUCAGUGUGCGAAAGCUAGGGGAGCAAACGGGAUUAGAUACCCCGGUAGUCCUGGCCGUAAACGAUGGGCACUAAGUAGAGGGGU